rnacentral:lncRNA from 1 species
GAUUGAGUUCGAAGGUGAUCACGAGCUAAAAGAAUAUAAACACGACAUCGUGGUGUUAAAGAUCAUGAAUCGGAGGUGAGGUUUAUGUCUUCCUCGAAUCUAUUGUAUUUUUCUUCUUUUUAAUGUUGAGUGUUAAUAAAUAAUGCAUCCUUGUGGUGGUUGGAUUGCUGAAUUUCAUAUUUCAAUGUAAUCCUUUUUUUUUAUUUUUUCUUUUUUUAAAGGGAUUUAGUUUUUAAAAAUAGUCACACCGUGGGAACUUGAGUAGAAAAAUGUUCCAUAAAAAAAGUGAUGGCUACUCAGACGUUUCCCUGCUCC